rnacentral:rRNA from 1 species
AUUGAACGCUGGCGGCAUGCUUUACACAUGCAAGUCGAACGGUAACAGGCCGCAAGGUGCUGACGAGUGGCGAACGGGUGAGUAAUGCAUCGGAACGUGCCCAGUCGUGGGGGAUAACUACUCGAAAGAGUAGCUAAUACCGCAUACGAUCUAUGGAUGAAAGCGGGGGACCGUAAGGCCUCGCGCGAUUGGAGCGGCCGAUGUCAGAUUAGGUAGUUGGUGGGGUAAAGGCUCACCAAGCCAACGAUCUGUAGCUGGUCUGAGAGGACGACCAGCCACACUGGGACUGAGACACGGCCCAGACUCCUACGGGAGGCAGCAGUGGGGAAUUUUGGACAAUGGGCGCAAGCCUGAUCCAGCAAUGCCACGUGCAGGAAGAGGGCCUUCGGGUUGUAAACUGCUUUUGUACGGAACGAAACGGCUCUGGUUAAUACCCGGGGCUAAUGACGGUACCGUAAGAAUAAGCACCGGCUAACUACGUG